rnacentral:rRNA from 1 species
CCUACGGGAGGCAGCAGUGGGGAAUAUUGGACAAUGGGGGGAACCCUGAUCCAGCGACGCCGCGUGAGUGAAGAAGUAUUUCGGUAUGUAAAGCUCUAUCAGCAGGGAAGAAAGAAAUGACGGUACCUGACUAAGAAGCCCCGGCUAACUACGUGCCAGCAGCCGCGGUAAUACGUAUGGAGCAAGCGUUAUCCGGAUUUACUGGGUGUAAAGGGAGCGCAGGCGGCCUUGCAAGUCUGAUGUGAAAUACCGGGGCUCAACCCCGGAGCUGCAUUGGAAACUGUGAGGCUGGAGUGUCGGAGAGGCAGGCGGAAUUCCUAGUGUAGCGGUGAAAUGCGUAGAUAUUAGGAGGAACACCAGUGGCGAAGGCGGCUUACUGGACUGUAACUGACGUUGAGGCUCGAAAGCGUGGGGAGCAAACAGGAGUAGAUACCCGGGUAGUC